GCCUCUCUAGCUCAAUGGUUAGAGCAAGGGUCUUUUAAACCUUGGGUUGUGGGUUCGAAUCCCACGGGAGGCA
rnacentral:tRNA from 1 species